GAAAUUCUUUUUAAACUAUUCCCUG
rnacentral:tRNA from 4 species